UCAAAUAUAAAAUCGUUAACAUCCUUAUUUUCCAGCUCUAGUGUCCUCAGACUCUCCCAGCGACAGCCACUGAUGUCAUCUCCAGACCAGCUCAGGUUGUGAGGUGAUCAUGACCAGAGUUAGAGUGAUCAUGGGAGGUUGAUACAGAGGUGCCAUAAGAUCAAAGGAGCCUGUAGUGCUGAGCCAACAUAUGGAGGAGAGUUGCCUGGACAUGCCAGGGCCUUUGUAUUUAGUAUUUCCUUUGUGAUAGGAGAUCCCAGGGGACAAGAUAUCUUAACUGAGAAGAAUGAACUACUAAUGAUGGAGUAGAAAACUCUUGGGCAUAUUAUAGAAGAUGACAUUUUGGGAUAAGACAGUCUUUCUUUGCUCUCUAAUCAUACCACGAUGGUGUCUGGCCAGAUUAUUAUCUACAUAUAACGUUUUAGGAAGUACAAUUUGUGACAACUGCAGAAAUUGUGGAAUCUUAGCUCUUGCUGUAAGUUUUCCCUUCUAAUCCAUUCUGAGUAUUACUAACAUAGUGCUAUAGGUCACUCAUUGUGUCCUCUACAUAUCAUGUGUCUUUAAUUUUUAAACAGUUUUGAAUAUCCUCUUUUGUGAUUAAUAAUAAUAACUCUUUUUUUAUGAGUUCUGGCUAGGAUGCAGGCUCUUUAUUUACAUUAUCAUAUUCUCUUCAACUACAUUGUGAAGUAUUGCCCCCAAAGGCACAUGGUUAGAAAGUGGGUGAUUGAAGCAAGAUUCAAAUGCAAAUCCUUGAGCAUAUAUGCUUUUUUCACCAUGAGCCUUCUCUCUCUUUAGAUGGAACCCACAUUUCCUGCAAGGCUCAAUGUAAGCUCCACCUCCCCAGUGAAGUGUUCUCUCUGACAGCCCACUGCACAAUCAGUCCUUCUCCUUUGUAGUCCUCAUCGUCAUUCGGAAUCAUGGCAGCUUGUCUCCCAAGAUGGCCCUCCAGUGACCCAUGCCUCUUGCAGUUCAGGCCCUUAGCAGGCUGUCCCUGUGACUUGCAUUUUGACCCAUGGUAUGUGACAGACUUGAUACUGCAUGACUUCCAAGGUUAGGUCAUGAGAAGCCUUGCAGCUUCUUCCUUCAUCCUCCAGAAACACUCCAUCUGCGAGUAUGGGCUCUGGGGGAAGCCAAAUAUCAUGUGAGAUGUCUGACACCAUCUGAAACUACUGUGCUGUGAGGAAGUGCAAGGUGGCCACACGAAGAUGCCACGUGGAGAGAGGCAGAUGCCUGGGUAGCCCCAUCUGUGCCAGCCAUCCCAACAGAGGCGCCACACAUGGGAGUAAAGGAGCAUUCUGGACAUCCAGCCCAGUCGAGCCUGCAGAUGAUUCCAACUGCAGCUGCCACUUGUCAGCAAUGGCAUAAGAGACCCCAAACAAGAACCACCCAGCUGAGCCCAGUCAAACCACAGAGCCAGGAGUUAUAACAAUAAAGUGUUUUUUAAGCCACUAAAAUUUGGGGAGGUUUAUUUUACCCCUGUAGAUAUUUGGAACAGGAACUCACCAAUGUCCUCCCUCCCCACUGUUGGCAUGUUGCAAUAUCUGUGGGCCGCUAUUCUAUUCAUUUUUAAAAUUUUAAUAAUUUGUGUAGUUGAUCUA